GAUGAAGAACGUAGCGAAAUGCGAUAAGUAGUGUGAAUUGCAGAAUUCCGUGAAUCAUCGAAUCUUUGAACGCACAUUGCGCCCCCUGGCAUUCCGGGAGGCAUGCCUGUUCGAGCGUCAUUGCUGCCCUCAAGCACGGCUUGUGUGUUGGGCCUCCGUCCUCCUCCCGGGGGACGGGCCCGAAAGGCAGCGGCGGCACCGCGUCCGGUCCUCGAGCGUAUGGGGCUUCGUCACCCGCUCUUGUAGGCCCGGCCGGCGCUUGCCGACACAUCAAUCUUUUUUCCAGGUUGACCUCGGAUCAGGUAGGGAUACCCGCUGAACUUAAGCAUAUCAAUAAGCGGAGGA
rnacentral:misc_RNA from 1 species